UAUAUAUAGAGAGAGAGAGAGAGAGUCCGGUUACUAUACUUUUAUGAGUAUUGGCUCUCUUAUACUCAUAAAUUUUCGAUCCUUAAAUUUAUUCCAUUGAUCAUUUACACCCGUUAAAUUAUACUAUUCAACCAACUACCCACUCAACCCUAGGGGACCACUAUCAUUCUAAGUGGGGCCACCAUCAUCCUAACCACACAUCCCAUCAAUCAACGGUUAAAAAUUUAUGAAUUUAAAGGAAUCUAUACUCAUAAGAGUACAGUAGUCCCAGCCUAUAUAUAU
rnacentral:lncRNA from 1 species